rnacentral:rRNA from 1 species
AGAGUUUGAUCCUGGCUCAGGAUGAACGCUGGCGGCGUGCUUAACACAUGCAAGUCGAACGAAGCACUUUAACCUGAUUCUUCGGAUGAAGGUUUUUGUGACUGAGUGGCGGACGGGUGAGUAACGCGUGGGUAACCUGCCUCAUACAGGGGGAUAACAGUUAGAAAUGACUGCUAAUACCGCAUAAGACCACAGAGCCGCAUGGCUCGGUGGGAAAAACUCCGGUGGUAUGAGAUGGACCCGCGUCUGAUUAGGUAGUUGGUGGGGUAACGGCCUACCAAGCCAACGAUCAGUAGCCGACCUGAGAGGGUGACCGGCCACAUUGGGACUGAGACACGGCCCAAACUCCUACGGGAGGCAGCAGUGGGGAAUAUUGCACAAUGGGGGAGACCCUGAUGCAGCGACGCCGCGUGAGCGAAGAAGUAUUUCGGUAUGUAAAGCUCUAUCAGCAGGGAAGAAAAUGACGGUACCUGACUAAGAAGCCCCGGCUAACUACGUGCCAGCAGCCGCGGUAAUACGUAGGGGGCAAGCGUUAUCCGGAUUUACUGGGUGUAAAGGGAGCGUAGACGGAUGGACAAGUCUGAUGUGAAAGGCUGGGGCUCGACCCCGGGACUGCAUUGGAAACUGCCCGUCUUGAGUGCCGGAGGGGUAAGCGGAAUUCCUAGUGUAGCGGUGAAAUGCGUAGAUAUUAGGAGGAACACCAGUGGCGAAGGCGGCUUACUGGACGGUAACUGACGUUGAGGCUCGAAAGCGUGGGGAGCAAACAGGAAUAGAUACCCUGGUAGUCCACGCGGUAAACGAUG